rnacentral:lncRNA from 1 species
CCUGAGUUGAGUUGAGAAUAAUUUAAUGGUAUUGAUAAAGGUUCAAGUUUGGGGUUGUUGGGAGAAUUGAAAGGCAAAAAGAAAAGCAUUGAGCUAAUGUGUUGAAUGAAAAAAGCAUGAGAAAAUAUAGAAAAGAAAAGAAAAGAAAAGCAUGAAAGAUAAGCUCAAUGCAAAAGUAAAAGAAAAAGGGAAAAGUUGGGAAUGAGUGAGAUUGGUUGAAAGAGAGUUGGUGCUUGAAAUAUGGAUGUUGAAUAACUCUCUUAACUCAAGGAUUUUGUGAUCUAGAAAAACCAUUUUUUCUUGUUAGCCCAACCUCAUUAUAAGCCUUGAAAAGUCCUUGUGAUGG